CAUUAAUGAGUUUUGAUGGAGGUUUUGAUGCUGGCAGCCGUCUUUCAGGCCGCAUGUGCUCGCCCCCUGACAAAUCAUCUUCCAAACACCUGUGCACAAUUUUGAGGGGGGGUUCAUGGGUUGAUUACCGUGAUUUUGGUGAUUUACUUUCAUUUCCCUCCCUUGAAUUUUUAUACAUUAUAUAUACACUUGUUGCAAUGCUGAACGUGUUUUGCGCCGUAAGGCCUUAAUAAAUUACAACUUUUAACAACGGAUCUCUUGGCUCUCGCAUCGAUGAAGAACGCAGCGAAAUGCGAUAAGUAAUGUGAAUUGCAGAAUUCAGUGAAUCAUCGAAUCUUUGAACGCACCUUGCGCUCCCUGGUAUUCCGGGGAGCACGCCUGUUCGAGUGUCGCGAAAUUUCUCAAGCUUUGGAUGACUUUCUUGUCUGUCCUUUGUCUUGGUUAUUGGGCUCUGCCGUGUUCCUCUAUUGGUACGGCUGGCCUUAAAAGUAUUAGCUGGCCUUCAUGUGAAGCUGGUUCUACUCAGCGUGAUAAUAAUCUGAUCGCCGAGGACAUCUUCUUUUGGGGAUGGCCAGUUUUCGUUUGGGCUGCUUCUAACCUGGUGGUACAGUUCCGUGCCCCACUUUUCGGCUUUGACCUCGAAUCAGGUGGGACUACCCGCUGAACUUAAGCAUAUCAAUAAGCGGAGGAAAAGAAACUAACAAGGAUUCCCCUAGUAACGGCGAGUGAAGCGGGAAGAGCUCAAAUUUAAAAUCUGGCAAUCUUUGGUUGUCCGAAUUGUAAUCUAGAGAAGCGUUUUCCGCGCUGGACUGUGUACAAGUUUCCUGGAUACGGAACAUCAUAGAGGGUGAGAAUCCCGUCCUUGACACAGACUCCCAGUGCUUUGUGAUGCGCUCUCGACGAGUCGAGUUGUUUGGGAUUGCAGCUCAAAAUGGGAGGUAAAUUCCUUCUAAAGCUAAAUAUUGGCGAGAGACCGAUAGCGAACAAGUACCGUGAGGGAAAGAUGAAAAGCACUUUGGAAAGAGAGUUAAACAGUACGUGAAAUUGUUAAAAGGGAAACGCUUGAAGUCAGUCACGUUUGCUUGGACUCAGCCUUACCUCGGUUUGGUGCAUUUCCUUGCAGACGGGCCAGCGUUCAUGUUGUUUGCCGGAGAAGGGGUGAGGGAAUGUGGCUCCUUUGGGAGUGUUAUAGCUCUUACUCGUAUACGGGGGACGAUAUGAAGUGGUACAGCACGCUCCGGUGGUGCUUGUGCUGGCAUAAUGGCUUUAAACGACCCGUCUUGAAAACACGGA
rnacentral:rRNA from 1 species